rnacentral:rRNA from 1 species
UCUGCCCUACGGGACGUAGCAGUGGGGAAUAUUGGGCAAUGGGCGCAAGCCUGACCCAGCAACGCCGCGUGAAGGAAGAAGGCUUUCGGGUUGUAAACUUCUUUUGACAGGGAAGAGCAGAAGACGGUACCUGUCGAAUAAGCCACGGCUAACUACGUGCCAGCAGCCGCGGUAAUACGUAGGUGGCAAGUGUUGUCCGGAUUUACUGGGUGUAAAGGGCGUGUAGCCGGGCUGACAAGUCAGAUGUGAAAUCCGGGGGCUCAACCCCCGAACUGCAUUUGAAACUGUUGGUCUUGAGUAUCGGG